UCCUGAUAGCUCAGUUGGUAGAGCACGAUACUCAUAAUCUCAGAGUCCUGGGUUCGAGUCCCAUGUUGGGUGCAU